AGCUGCAAAAGGACCUGGAGGGCAAGAGAAAAGAGGUAGCUCAACUAUCAGCUGACGUGACGGAGCUCAAAGAGGAGAAGAAGAAGAGUGAGAGCGAGCUGCAAAAGGAGCUGGGGGACGAGAGAAAAAAGGUAAAUAAACUAUCAGCUGACGUGACGGAGCUCAAAGAGGAGAAGCAGAAGAGUGAGAGCGAGCUGCAAAAGGAGCUGGAGGACGAGAGAAAAAAGGU